AGAGAAUCAUCAAAGUUCAGCAAUAAGCAUCAAUCAAAACUCAUCUAUUUGCAUUCAAAAAUCAUCUCUCUUAGCCUAGGAUUACUGAACUUUUGCACUAGAUUUACAUUGGUUUCCCAAGCUCAACCAGUAUCCAUUCAUUUACACUUCAUUCAAUCAGAAAGAAAGAAACUAGACACAUUAUAAAUUUAUUCACACAUGAUAAAUUUAGGACAAAAUCACACACACACUGCCUCCAGCAGCAUGAUAAUCCAUGAAUGGAGACAAUUAGACAAACAUGAUUAUCAUAUUCACACAUGAUAAUCCAUUAAUGGAGACAACUAGACAAACCCACACCACCACCACCACCAACAGAUGGAAUUGUACAACGCCAACAGAGACAGAGAUUCUACAACCCGAAGGUCGACGAUGAGGUCGUACAGAUCAGAGAGGUAGUAGUUGUUGCCGCCGGCCAGGUGGGCCAGCACGGCUUACGCAAAUACACUUCUCAGUUUUACAAAUUGAAAAUUAUGACAGUAGUGUAAUCCGAAACAGAGGACUGCACAAAAUGAUGAAUCAGUGGAAGGUCUGAUUAACUAAAUUUCACAGCUAGUGAACAUCGAAACAACCCACUGGAACAACUCAAGUUUUGGAAAUUACAUGGAAGUCCAAAGUCUCAGUUUAGAAGCAGAUCACCUUGAGAACUUUAUAGUAAUAGCUAGGAUCUUCACGGUAUGCUUACAAGCUGAUGUCAGUUUCACAAGAAGAUCUUAAAUUUUCAUUUUUGACAGUCAAGCAUCUUCACCUUUGCUCUGUCGUCGCGCGAGGCAGUAGCUCUCCUACCAACGCAAGAUGGGCGGCGAAGGUGGGGAUGGUUGCUGCUGCUUUCGGGGGAGAGCUUCUGCCGGCUCUAGUGGAUAGUGGUGGACGAGGUUGGUAGCAAGGUGGACAGUGGUGGCUGCUGGGCGGCGAGGCAGCGCCGGAUUCAUGGUCGAUGGCGGUCAGCCGACGAGGAGGUAGUUCACGAAGGACAGUCCAGCUUCAGGUCGCCACCCUCGAACGUCGCGGUGGUCGCCGUCGGAUGGGCAGAGCCAGAUAAAAGAAGUAACUUUUCUCCUCGUCGUGGUUCACCAAGCGGAACGAGGAUAGGAACAAAGAGGGAAGCAGCGGAGACGUGGGCGGGGCAGGUCCUUCAAGGAGCCGAGCAGGGGAGCGCGGGGAUCCGAGGCGGGGAGCUUCGGUGCAUGGGAG
rnacentral:lncRNA from 1 species